GUGCUUGCUUCGGUAGCACAUAUACUAAAAUUGGAAUGAUACAGAGAAGAUUAGCAUGGCCCCU
rnacentral:snRNA from 1 species